UACGUAGGGGGGCAAGCGUUGUCCGGAUUUAUUGGGCGUAAAGAGCGUGUAGGCGGCUUUACAGGUCCGUUGUGAAAACUCGAGGCUCAACCUCGAGACGCCGGUGGAAACCGUAAAGCUAGAGUCCGGAAGAGGAGAGUGGAAUUCCUGGUGUAGCGGUGAAAUGCGCAGAUAUCAGGAGGAACACCGAUGGCGAAGGCAGGUCUCUGGGCAUUAACUGACGCUGAGGAGCGAAAGCAUGGGGAGCGAACAGG
rnacentral:rRNA from 1 species